GUAUUUUGACUAUACAAAGGUAUUGUAAUAAGACUUUAAUUGAGUGCUAAAAGAAUGGAGUUUCAAAAAAAGUCUAUCUUGAAUUCAAAAAUUGAAUUUAUUUUUAUUUGUGAAGAAACAAUAAUUAAAAUUAAGGACAAGAAGACCCUAAGAAUUUUUAAUUUUGUAUAUAUAUAUAUUUAUAUAUACAAAAUUUUAAUUGGGGCGAUUAAAAAAUAUAGUUAACUUUUAAUUUUAAAAAAUGAUCCAUUAUUAGUGAUUUAAUGUAAAAAAUACUCUAGGGAUAACAGCGUAAUAA
rnacentral:rRNA from 1 species